rnacentral:rRNA from 1 species
AGUGAACGCUGGCGGUAGGCCUAACACAUGCAAGUCGAACGGCAGCACAGGAGAGAUUGCUCCCUGGGUGGCGAGUGGCGGACGGGUGAGGAAUACAUCGGAAUCUACCUUUUCGUGGGGGAUAACGUAGGGAAACUUACGCUAAUACCGCAUACGACCUUGGGGUGAAAGCAGGGGACCUUCGGGCCUUGCGCGGAUAGAUGAGCGGAAGGCGGAUUAGCUAGUAGGCGGGGUAAAGGCCCACCAAGGCGACGAUCCGUAGCUGGUCUGAGAGGAUGAUCAGCCACACUGGAACUGAGACACGGUCCAGACUCCGACGGGAGGCAGCAGUGGGGAAUAUUGGACAAUGGGCGCAAGCCUGAUCCAGCCAUACCGCGUGAGUGAAGAAGGCCUUCGGGUUGUAAAGCCCUUUUGUUGGGAAAGAAAAGCAGCCAUUUAAUACCUGGUUGUUCUGACGGUACCCAAAGAAUAAGCACCGGCUAACUUCGUGCCAGCCGCCGCGGUAA